UGAUGGAACGGUGGAGCAAAUGGAAGAACUUCUUGAACAGUUUCAGCACCGCCAGUGUUUGAAAGCAAGAAGGGAAAUAUUCCAAUUGAGUUUUUUGCAAAUCCGUUUUUGAUUGUGGGCAACGAAACAAGACAUUGUUUACUUGGGAGAGCGAAAGACAGCAGAGGCACUCGCAGACACGACGUAAAAAGUGACCAUGAUUAUGAAGAAAAGGGACGGAUUCGCUUACAGAACAGUAGAAAACUGGAUUGCCCAGCACAAGUGCAAAUAAGACAAGUCAGAAUAUUUCUCGACUACUACAUCGAUCGAGAACAAUUUACAUCAGAAAACAGCUUGGUUAUAGCAAAACGGAGAGUAUUUAGAGAGAUUAAGGAAAAAAUGGAUAGCGAUUCCUCCUCACAGCUUCGCGCCAGCAGUCGUUUUUACCUAAAAAUACCUCUUAGUAGUGCUCAUUCAUGUCACGCCAUUGGUGCCACGGCAACAGUUGGGCGGCGAAUGGAUUACCGACUGGUCACGAAAGUUUAUAGUUUGGUAAAACGCAAUGCAAUCAAAAUCUCAGAAGUCAAAAGGUGUCUUGAUCAAUACGUUGAAGAGACUUUAUUUCCACAAGACGGAUAAAAAGCUAUACCGCGCAAGACAAAUAAACGGUACUAUCCAAAUAAAAAGGAUAUUCGCAACCACUUAGUAAAGGCAAUAGAGUCCCUUAAGGACUGCAAAGACGAUCAAGAGUCCUU